UUAUUCUCAGAAAUAAGCAGAAGCAAGUUUUUAUGAAAAGACCAGCCAUACCAAACAUAGCCGAAGCCUCAAUCAAGCAAGGCUGCUUGGCAAUUUGAUUCAGUUCGGAAUUGUCUCUUUGACUGGAUGGGGUCUGCUUAUUUUUAGUGGAUACAAGUUUUUCACCGGAGGCAAAGGCAAGAAGGAAGAGGAUGCCAGAAGUGGGGGAAAAGGAGUGGAAGGUUGUGAAUUGUGAGAGGCUUCUUUUAUGCAUCAAAAAGUGGGUUCCUGAUUCUGAAUUUUAAUAACUACAGGUUCAUCAGUGUUAUAAUCUUCUCCAGUUGAUCAAAAGAGGAAGAUAUUUCUGUACGUCAAGGAGCCUAUUCUUCAAUACACAAAGCGCCAAAAAUCUCAAGCCCUCUGAAAAAAUUUCGGAAUUUGCCAAUGUCGCCUACCAUGGGCUGCCUUUUCUUUGCUACCAUUAAAACUUGGAUUAGUAAGGUGACUAGUUAUAACAACAUGCUGUAAGCAUUUGAACGAGAUGUAUUAGAAGUCUAAUGUGCCAAUCAGAAAUCAAUUGUUAUGAU